UUGUACGCUGGCGGCAGGCCUAACACAUGCAAGUCGAGCGGAUGAAGGGAGCUUGCUCCUGGAUUCAGCGGCGGACGGGUGAGUAAUGCCUAGGAAUCUGCCUGGUAGUGGGGGAUAACGUCCGGAAACGGGCGCUAAUACCGCAUACGUCCUGAGGGAGAAAGUGGGGGAUCUUCGGACCUCACGCUAUCAGAUGAGCCUAGGUCGGAUUAGCUAGUUGGUGGGGUAAAGGCCUACCAAGGCGACGAUCCGUAACUGGUCUGAGAGGAUGAUCAGUCACACUGGAACUGAGACACGGUCCAGACUCCUACGGGAGGCAGCAGUGGGGAAUAUUGGACAAUGGGCGAAAGCCUGAUCCAGCCAUGCCGCGUGUGUGAAGAAGGUCUUCGGAUUGUAAAGCACUUUAAGUUGGGAGGAAGGGCAGUAAGUUAAUACCUUGCUGUUUUGACGUUACCAACAGAAUAAGCACCGGCUAACUUCGUG
rnacentral:rRNA from 1 species